GAUGAACGCUAGCGGCAGGCCUAAUACAUGCAAGUCGAGGGGUAGAAGAGGCUUGCUUCAUUGAGACCGGCGCACGGGUGCGUAACGCGUAUGCAACCUACCUUCAUCUGGGGGAUAGCCCGGAGAAAUCCGGAUUAAUACCGCAUAAAAUCACAGGAUGGCAUUAUCCAAUGAUCAAACAUUUAUGGGAUGGAGAUGGGCAUGCGUGUCAUUAGCUAGUUGGCGGGGUAACGGCCCACCAAGGCGACGAUGACUAGGGGAUCUGAGAGGAUGGCCCCCCACACUGGUACUGAGACACGGACCAGACUCCUACGGGAGGCAGCAGCAAGGAAUAUUGGUCAAUGGAGGCAACUCUGAACCAGCCAUGCCGCGUGCAGGAAGACUGCCCUAUGGGUUGUAAACUGCUUUUAUUCGGGAAUAAACCUUAUUACGUGUAAUAAGCUGAAUGUACCGAAGGAAUAAGGAUCGGCUAACUCCGUGCCAGCAGCCGCAGUAA
rnacentral:rRNA from 1 species